AGUGAACGCUGGCGGUAGGCCUAACACAUGCAAGUCGAACGGCAGCACAGUAAGAGCUUGCUCUUACGGGUGGCGAGUGGCGGACGGGUGAGGAAUACAUCGGAAUCUACUUUUUCGUGGGGGAUAACGUAGGGAAACUUACGCUAAUACCGCAUACGACCUACGGGGGAAAGCAGGGGAUCUUCGGACCUUGCGGGAUUGGAUGAGCCGAUGUCGGAUUAGCUAGUGGGCGGGGUAAAGGCCCACCAAGGCGACGAUCCGUAGCUGGUCUGAGAGGAUGGUCAGCCACACUGGAACUGAGACACGGUCCAGACUCCUACGAGAGGCAGCAGUGGGGAAUAUUGGGCAAUGGGCGCAAGCCUGAUCCAGCCAUACCGCGUGGGUGAAGAAGGCCUUCGGGUUGUAAAGACCUUUUGUUGGGAAAGAAAAGCAGCAGGUUAAUACCCCGCUGUUCUGACGGUACCCAAAGAAUAAGCACCGGCUAACUUCGUG
rnacentral:rRNA from 1 species